rnacentral:rRNA from 1 species
GAUGAACGCUGGCGGCGUGCCUAAUACAUGCAAGUCGAGCGAACAGACGAGGAGCUUGCUCCUCUGACGUUAGCGGCGGACGGGUGAGUAACACGUGGAUAACCUACCUAUAAGACUGGGAUAACUUCGGGAAACCGGAGCUAAUACCGGAUAAUAUAUUGAACCGCAUGAUUCAAUAGUGAAAGACGGUUUUGCUGUCACUUAUAGAUGGAUCCGCGCCGCAUUAGCUAGUUGGUAAGGUAACGGCUUACCAAGGCAACGAUGCGUAGCCGACCUGAGAGGGUGAUCGGCCACACUGGAACUGAGACACGGUCCAGACUCCUACGGGAGGCAGCAGUAGGGAAUCUUCCGCAAUGGGCGAAAGCCUGACGGAGCAACGCCGCGUGAGUGAUGAAGGUCUUCGGAUCGUAAAGCUCUGUUAUUAGGGAAGAACAAAUGUGUAAGUAACUAUGCACGUCUUGACGGUACCUAAUCAGAAAGCCACGGCUAACUACGUG